rnacentral:rRNA from 1 species
UGGGGAAUUUUGGACAAUGGGGGCAACCCUGAUCCAGCCAUGCCGCGUGAGUGAAGAAGGCCUUCGGGUUGUAAAGCUCUUUCGGCGGGGACGAAACGGUCCGUGACAACACCACGGACUAAUGACAGUACUCGCAGAAGAAGCACCGACUAACUACGUGCCAGCAGCCGCGGUAAUACGUAGGGUGCAGGCGUUAAUCGGAAUUACUGGGCGUAAAGCGUGCGCAGGUGGCUCCUUAAGUCAGAUGUGAAAUCCCCGGGCUUAACCUGGGAACUGCGUUUGAAACUGAGGAGCUAGAGUGUGGAAGAGGGGGGUGGAAUUCCAGGUGUAGCAGUGAAAUGCGUAGAGAUCUGGAGGAACACCGAUGGCGAAGGCAGCCCCCUGGGCUAACACUGACACUCAUGCACGAAAGCGUGGGGAGCAAACAGGAUUAGAUACCCACGUAGUCCCUGAGCGGGCUGGCAAGGCGCAU